CUGUUACGUGUGUCAUUAUGACCAAAUUAUUGUGAUUUUUAUUUGAGACUUUAGCACUUGGAAUUUUGAUUAAGUUUCCAAAGCAAGUGCGGUUUAUUUUUACCGAGAAAUCGAAUGAUGCCGGUUUAUGGAAAUUUUUCCAAGCAUAAUAUUUUUAAAUUAUUUUUCCUAUGAUGAGGAAUAUUAUAAUUGAGUGAGUGCACUAAUAUUAGUGCUAUAAUUAUUUUAUUUUGGUCACAUGAAUAAUUAUACUAUGGUACUUUAUUAAUGAGUAAUAUUUCCAUAGUUUUUGUGAUUAUUAUUUAAUCACCCUUCUCACAUGAUUUAUUUUUAAUUUCCCAAGUAUGAGACUAAUUACUAAAAUUUACUAAGUGUAGAGAUUGAGAGAGUAGAGAUUUAGAGAGUAGAGAUUAGAGAGAGUGUAGAGAUUAGAGAGAGAGAGAUCAAGGCAUUAAUUGCCAAAUAUUCUCAAGAUCAUCAAAUCCUCUUUAAAGAUCACAAAUCUAUCCUAAGAUUUCCAAGAUCAAUUCAUAUCUUGCUAGAGAAAUUCUCUCUCUCCUUCACUCCAAACUUUCGACCACCACCUCUCUCUCCUCUCUCUCACAUUUCCACCAUUGACAACCAUUAACGAGACCUUGGGAGCUUCACAACAUCACACCAAAAUCACAAAUCACCCUCUAAAUCUUACACUAAACACUUCCACCUCCUUGAAUUCAAGAAGAUCUUUGGAGAUUGACUUCAAGAAUAGAGAGAGAAAGUUUGAUAUUUGGUGUAAACUUGGACACGAGCAGAGCAAGGAAGUAAGUAACUCCACUUUGACGGGAGUUUUUGAGUAAGGUCUUCAGACUAAACGAGGAGUGAGAUUGGUCUGGUGCUGGCGGGGAAAUGUUGGAGGAUGUAUUUACUUUAUCGUAUUUCCAUUUUGACGAUAAAGUCUUGAUGAUUGAUAUACUUAAAUUUUCUUUUGAAGUUAAGCAAUGUACUCACGGUUAUAUGUCUUCAUACAUAUAAUCGGUUCGCCUUUUGCUGCGAUACUCUGCAUAUUAUGAUUCCUUAUGAAAAAUGAGCGAUACCCGUUUUGUUUUUGUUCGUGAAAUUCCUGAUAAUUAAAAAGUUAUAACGACAUUGACGAUUUUACCCUUGGGUUCAUUUAUAAGGAUUU